AUUGAACGCUGGCGGCAGGCCUAACACAUGCAAGUCGAACGAGUGGCGGACGGGUGAGUAAUGUCUGGGGAACUGCCUGCUGGAGGGGGAUAACUACUGGAAACGGUAGCUAAUACCGCAUACCAUCGGAUGUGCCCAGAUGGGAUUAUCUAGUUGGUGGGGUAAAGGCUCACCAAGGCGACGAUCCCUAGCUGGUCUGAGAGGAUGACCAGCAACACGGGAACUGAGACACGGUACAGACUACGACGGGAGGCAGCAGUGGGGAAUAUUGCACAAUGGGAGAAAGCCUGAUGAAGCCAUGCCGCGUGUAUGAAGAAGGCCUUAGGGUUGUAAAGUACUUGCAGCGGGGAGGCGUUACCCGCAGAAGAAGCACCGGCUAACUCCGGGCCAGCAGCCGCGGUAAUUC
rnacentral:rRNA from 1 species